rnacentral:rRNA from 1 species
AGAGCGAACGCUGGCGGCAGGCCUAACACAUGCAAGUCGAGCGCCCGUAGCAAUACGGGAGCGGCAGACGGGAUAGUAACACGUGGGAACGCGCCCUUCGGUUCGGAAUAACUCAGGGAAACUUGAGCUAAUACCGGAUACGCCCUUACGGGGAAAGAUUUAUUGCCGAAGGAACGGCCCGCGUCCGAUUAGCUAGUUGGUGAGGUAAUGGCUCACCAAGGCGACGAUCGGUAGCUGGUCUGAGAGGAUGACCAGCAUCACUGGGACUGAGACACGGCCCAGACUCCUACGGGAGGCAGCAGUGGGGAAUAUUGGACAAUGGGCGCAAGCCUGAUCCAGCCAUGCCGCGUGGAUGAUGAAGGCCUUAGGGUUGUAAAGUCCUUUUAACGGGGAAGUAUAAUGACGGUACCGUAGAAUAAGCCCGGCUAACUUCGUGCCAGCAGCCGC